GGCUCAGGACGAACGCUGGCGGCGUGCCUAAUACAUGCAAGUCGAACGGUCUUUCUAUGGAAGCUUGCUUCCACUGAGAAGAUAGUGGCGAACGGGUGAGUAACACGUGGGUAACCUGCCCAUAAGAGGGGGGAUAACAUCCGGAAACGGGUGCUAAUACCGCAUAGUUUUCUUGAUUGCAUGAUUGAGAAAGGAAAGACGGCCUUUGUGCUGUCGCUUAUGGAUGGACCCGCGGCGUAUUAGUUAGUUGGUGAGGUAACGGCUCACCAAGACGAUGAUACGUAGCCGACCUGAGAGGGUGAUCGGCCACAUUGGGACUGAGACACGGCCCAAACUCCUACGGGAGGCAGCAGUAGGGAAUCUUCCGCAAUGGACGAAAGUCUGACGGAGCAACGCCGCGUGAGUGAAAGAAGGUUUUCGGAUCGUAAAACUCUGUUGUCAGAGAAGAACAAGUUGGAGAGUAACUGCUCCAGCCUUGACGGUAUCUGACCAGAAAGCCACGGCUAACUACGUGCCAGCCGCCGC
rnacentral:rRNA from 1 species